GAUUAACGCUGGCGGCGUGCCUAACACAUGCAAGUCGAACGAUGAAACUUUUUCUAGUUCUUCUGAAUGAUAAUACGUGGAUUAGAUGGCCGACGGGUGAAUCUGCCUGGAAUCACCUGACUUAUAUAGGGGGAUAUCCUUUGUACCCCAUAAAUAAUACCCUAUCAUGUGACUAUCUCGCAUGGGAAUGUCGUCUCACAUCUAUCUCUCUCUGAUGGACUUGCGCCUGAUUAUGGAGUUGGUGAUGUAACGGGCCACCAUGACUACCAUACCUGACCGGCUUGUCAGACUGUACGGCCACUGUAUGAGACUGACACACUGCCCCGACUCCUACCGGAGGCAACUCUGCGGAAUUGUGCACGAUGUCGGAAAACACCUGAUGCACCGACGCCACGAGAGUUAUAAGGUCUUCGGGUUGUGUUAGUCUUUUGUAUGGAAAGAGAAAGACGGUACCUUACGAUGAGAGACCGGCUUAUUACAUGCCAACAGCCACGUUCAUACCUACGGCCCCAGCGUUGUCCAGAAUCCUUGCGCGGACCGGAUACAUAGGCCGUUAAGCAAGUUCGAGCUGAAAUCCUAUACCUCAGCUAUAGUAAGCUUUUAAAACUGCUCAUCUUGAGAUAUGGAAGGGACAGUGGAAUUCCUAUGUGUAGCGGUGAAAUGCGCAGAUAUUAGGGGGAAUACCGGUGGCGAAAGCGACUUUCUGGCCAUAAUCUGACGCUGAGGUACGAAAGCGUGGGUAGCAAACAGGAUUAGAUACCCUGGUAGUCCACGCCGUAAACGAUGAGUGUUAGGUGUCUGGACUAAUAUCUGGGUGCCGCGGCUAACGCAUUAAACACUCCGCCUGGGGAGUGCGCGCGCAAGCGUGAAAGUCAAUGGAAUUGACGGGGACCCGCACCACGCAGCGGAGCAUGCGGUUUAAUUCGACUCAACGCGAAGAACCUUACCAAGUCUUGACAUAUUACUCGCAGGGAUCUAGAGAUAGAUCCUUACUUCUUCUCAAGACUGUAAUACAGGUGGUGCAUGGUUGUCGUCAGCUCGUGUCGUGAGAUGUUGGGUUAAGUCCCAUAACGAGCGCAACCCCUAUUGUUAGUUACCAUCAUUCAGUUGGGGACUCUAACGAUACUGCCGGUGACAAACCGGAGGAAGGUGGGGAUGACGUCAAAUCAUCAUGCCCUUUAUGACUUGGGCUACACACGUGCUACAAUGGCAGGCACACAGAGCAGCUAGAGAGCGAUCUCAUGCUAAUCUCAAAAAGCCUGUCUCAGUUCGGAUUGCAGUCUGCAACUCGAGUGCAUGAAGUUGGAGUUGCUAGUAAUCGUGGAUCAGCAUGCCGCGGUGAAUGCGUUCCCGGGUCU
rnacentral:rRNA from 1 species